UAAAAAAAAAAAACCUCAAACAGAAUGCAGGAAAUUGUAUGUUGUAUACUUGAUGAAGUUUUUGUAUCUUCAAAUCAAGUACCCAUAUGAGUAGAAAGUUAUGAAAAUUUUAAUCUCAACCGAAGUAGAAAUCCGAAGAUUUUACUAUGAGACAACAUACAAGUUCGUUAUAUUCAAACAACAAACAUACAAGUUUCUUUUAUUUCUGGAAAGCACUGUUAUUUGUUAAAGAAAAACACUUUUUUUCUUUCUUUCUGAUAACGUUCUGUAAUGGUUAAACAGAAAUAGAUGAACACAGAAAUAACUGUUAAAUUUCUUAAGCUUGUUGGUAAACUGUGUUCAAAACCGUAGGAAACAGAAACCAGAAACUAAAAGAAAAACAGAAACUGUGUAAAUUUGGAAAAAAUUUCAUAAACAAAGAAAUAUCCGAGCCACAGAAAUCACUGUGUGUCCUUAAGGAAUUUAAUCCCCUCACUGUACCCGAGGUUAUGGAUUACUUCCUCCCAAGAUAAGACGGAUAUACCUGUCGCAGGAGUAGCGGUACCUCAAACGCCUAUGAUUUCGACGAACUCAAAUCAGGCAACGAACCACACACAGAGAGACUCAUAGUUUUAUUUUAGAAAAAAAAGAAUGUAGAAGUGCGAUGCAGGAAAGUUUAUAUAGCCGCGAAAAAUAUCUGUUCAGAACAGGUUUGGUGACGGUUCAGAAAGGCCUUGCCUUUUCCAAAAAUAAUAAUAAUAAUAAUAAGAACGUUGGGAUUUAUUUUUAUUCGCGAAAUUAAUAAUAAUUUUGGCGGAAAUAAUAAAAAAAAUCAGAAAAUGAAAAUUGAAUUUAAAUAAAUUUGAUCUAAAAAAAUUAUCAAUCAAUCACUGAAUCUGAAGCCGAGCGACGACAACAACGCUAGGGGAAUAGUCCAUUUUCUCAACCCUUUAAGAGCUAGAAGAAGUGUUUUCUAAUAUAAGCAUAUAACUUUCCCUUUCUACUAUCAAUGCGGUACAAAGCUCCUUUUCAUAGGAACUUUGCUUUAAACUUCAUUUUCCUUCCAUUGUCUUUUUUCCCUCCAUUUCUCAUUCACACCAACUUAGCUAGCUUCAAUCAUUAACUAGCUUUAACAAUCAGUAGGGGUGAUUGCAGACUCAUUCUUAAGGUUGGUGUCUCUGUUUCCUUCCUUUUUUUUAUUUUUAUUUUUAUUUUUUUUAUAGAUGUUGAUAAAGAGGGAUCUCUAUUUGACAUGCGAAGGCUCCAUAAUUUGAUAGUUAGCAGCCUUUUCUGUUUCCAUUUCAAUUUGGAGAUUACUUAAUUACCUGUUUCUAAAUCAUUGUUGAAUAUGUUUUUUCAUGAGUUCCUACAUUUGAUUGUGGGAAAUGUUUUUCUUAUUAUUCUAUCUUCAUCAUUCCAAGAAAUUUCAAGGUUUUGAAGAAGAGUCGUCAGUCAUCACGUGAAUACACAUGCAAAAAUAUAGUAUAGGAAAUAAAAGGGUUUCGUAAUGUUAUUUGAACCAAAGCCCGUGUCACAUUCAGCAAGACAUUGUAGUGUUCUAAACAGAGUGGUUUAUAGAGUUCAUUCACGAAAAAUUGUAUUGAUUAGCUCUUGGUACAAAUGCUGGGAGGUAAUAGACAAGUUAAAUUUCAACCUCACGUUGGGAACCUUUUGGCAAGUACUACCGGAAAUACUAUAAAUAUCUUUGAUGUCAAGACUAAAAGCAUCCAAAGAAAGUUACAAGGACACGUAAAAGACGUUCGUUCAAUCUGCUGGCAGUGGGAAUUACCUGGCAUCCGCGUGCGAAGACGUUGUACGAAUAUGGGAUGUUAAUGAAGGAAGGUGUAUGUUUGAACUAUUCUCCAGUGGCAAUAAGUUCCAGUCAUGCAGUUACCGCCUCUGAACUCUCAAGUGUUGGUGAUUGGUUCAGAUGAGUUCUUGGAGGUGUGGAAUCCAAUCUCAACGAAAAACACCAUUUGGUCAUCUAGUGCACAUGCUGGUGUAAUUUCUUCAUUAGCAGAUCAGACUAUGGCGAUGACGCUUCUUUGUGGAUCAAGAUACAACUGUCAUUCUUUCUUCUCUCUCUUAUCCAAAUUACAUUAAUAUCUGAAUGAAACCACAACUGCAUCCACCCUUUAGCUAACAACUAACAAGGGUGAAUUUGGGACCAAGGAUGGUGACUGUAUUCUUGGUGCUUCACCAAAGUAAUGAGUUAUCGGAAAGACUGAAUUAUUAG